UCUGCUUCAAAGGAACACUCCAAGUACCAUCAAAACUUUAGAUUAAUGAAGUUAUGGUACCUGGAUUAAUUCUUUAACUACUGUGUGAUGUUUCAUCCACAAUGACACCUUGUACUGCAUUUGCACCUUUUCCACUUUAAAACAUACUGUACUUAUUAACAAUGCAAUGAUUUGUGGACCCAGGACAUCCUUGAAAACUAGAGAAAUCUCAACUUAUCUUUCCUGGUAAAAUAUUUUAUAAAUAAAUAAAUAAUAUAGGCUACUUAAAAUGUUGGUAGUUAUGCCUAAACAUGAAGAAGGUCCCAUGGCAAAAAU